AUUGAACGCUGGCGGCAUGCCUUACACAUGCAAGUCGAACGGCAGCACGGGAGCAAUCCUGGUGGCGAGUGGCGAACGGGUGAGUAAUAUAUCGGAACGUGCCCAGUCGUGGGGGAUAACGCAGCGAAAGCUGUGCUAAUACCGCAUACGAUCUAAGGAUGAAAGCGGGGGAUCGCAAGACCUCGCGCGAUUGGAGCGGCCGAUAUCAGAUUAGCUAGUUGGUGGGGUAAAGGCCCACCAAGGCGACGAUCUGUAGCUGGUCUGAGAGGACGAGCAGCCACACUGGAACGGAGACACGGUCCAGACUCCUACGGGAGGCAGAAGUGGGGAAUUUUGGACAAUGGGCGCAAGCCUGAUCCAGCAAUGCCGCGUGCAGGACGAAGGCCUUCGGGUUGUAAACUGCUUUUGUACGGAACGAAACGGCCCUUUCUAAUACAGGGGGCUAAUGACGGUACCGUAAGAAUAAGCACCGGCUAACUACGUGCCAGCCGCCGCCGUAA
rnacentral:rRNA from 1 species